UAUCAUUGGGUAUCUUGAGUCAUUUGGUGGAUCUCAGCUCAUUCCUGUGGAUUUCCAGGAAGGGCUUCUGGGAACACAUGUCCUAAGCUCUUCCUGCAUGUCCAAAACAGCUUAUGUUUGAAGAAAAAUGACUGAGCCCACAUGGCAGCUGGAAGGUCCCAUGCGCCAUUCUAGUUCAAGAAUGACUCACAGCCUCUGCAGCCUCGUCAGCAGAUCUAGGAACUGACUCUUCCAUUGGCUCUCAUGAUGAUAUUGAUAAUAUUAGGCAGUGUUUCUAACAUAUGGUCCAAGGGCUACCUGUACCAGAGUCCCCUGGACUUGCUCAAAGGCAGAUUCUUGGGCUUUUCUCCAGACCCACUGAACCAGAGUCUCUGGGAGCAGCCAUGGAUUCCAGACUUGCCACAGACCUACCAGCGAGGUCCCCAUAUUCAUUACCGAGUGAGAACCACUGCCCAAGGAGGUUUCCUCAUCAUCUUUGACCUUGGACAGGAGCAAGCUUCUUAGGACAGUCAACACUUUCAUGUGAUGAUUGAUUUAUAAAGCUAAGAUACCCCACAUGGUUGCCUGAGCCUCCCUGGGGAACUCAGGCAGGGGGGCAAACCUCACCUUCAAACAUGCUUCUUUUCUUUCUUUCUUUCUUUCUUUCUUUCUUUCUUUUUCUUUCUUUCUUUCUGACUGGUCCUAAAAGAUUCUCCUCCGUGUUACUGAUAGGGAUGGCUGCAAACCACUAGAAAAAUUUCCCAUGUUUCUUUGCAGCAGAGGUUGGGAUAAGACUGCAGCCUGACAUCUUCUCAAAAUUUCCUGCAUCAAGGAGACAGGCAUCUGAUUUUCCAGCUGGCUUAUUUUGGCUAGGUUAUGAACUUCCGUAACAAGCUCUGCCAGGCUUCUGAAAAUCUGUGGAAGGUUAGUUUUGUGAGUCUUUGCACUUAGUAGCCAGAAGACAAAUCCAGGUUAGGACAAGGGGAAGUUGGGGUCUCCUCAGAAAAAGGAAACAUUGACAUUUUCAGUGCCACCAGUAGAGAAUACCGUGCAGUGCAAUGAUAGGCCCACGAUUUUAAGAAUCCCUCUGCUUUCCAGCUGCCCCUCAAUGUCGCACACAUGUUAUUGCAGUGUGUAGGGUUUUUGAAACUAUUCCUAUUUUAAAAUAAUGUUUCCUACUAUUUGUCAUCAUUUCUCAUGAAUUCCCUAAAUCCACAAUUACUUGCAACUUUCAAGAGUCCACAUAAAAGAUUAUAUUACCAGCUUGUUUGGGAGCAGAUGUACCUUUUCCACAGGAUCUCCAUGCUACUCAGGAAUAAAUUAUUCAGGGGGCACCUGGGUGGCUCAGUUGAACAUCUGACUUCAGCUCAGGUCAUGAUCUCCCAGUUCGUGAGUUCGAGCCCCACAUCGGGCUCUGUGCUGACAGCU